GAGACAAGCUACGAAGGGCACAUGGUGGAUGCCUUGGCAUCGAGAGCCGAAGAAGGACGUAGUAGCCUGCGAUAAGCCCUGGGGAGUUGGCAAACGAACUGUGAUCCGGGGAUGUCCGAAUGGGGAAACCCAGCUGGAGUCAUGUCCAGUUACCCGCGCCUGAAUAUAUAGGGCGUGUGGAGGGAACACCGGGAAGUGAAACAUCUCAGUACCGGUAGGAAGAGAAAACAACAGUGAUUCCGAGAGUAGUGGCGAGCGAAAUCGGAACAGGCCAAACCUCAUCUGUGUGAUAGCCGGCAGGCGUUGCAGGUGGGGGGUUGUGGGACCAUUCAGAAUCUGCUGCCGUGGGUUCAGGAAGUCAUAAAAUCUGGUUGAAGUCCAAUUCCGUUGGAAAGCGGAGCCGUAGAGGGUGAUAGCCCCGUAAGCGUAAGGCCAGGUCUUCCGAGUGGUAUCCCAAGUAACACGGAACCCCUGAAAUUCCGUGUGAAUCUGGCGGGACCACCCGUUAAGCCUAAAUACUCCUCGAUGACCGAUAGCGGACAAGUACCGUGAGGGAAAGGUGAAAAGUACCCCUGGCGGGGAGUGAAAUAGUACCUGAAACCGUGUGCCUACAAUCCGUUGGAGCCUUGUACUUGUAUGGGGUGACAGCGUGCCUUUUGAAGAAUGAGCCUGCGAGUUUGCGUUGUGUUGCGAGGUUAACCCGUGUGGGGUAGCCGUAGCGAAAGCGAGUCCGAAUAGGGCGUUUGAGUAGCACGAUCAAGACCCGAAGCGGAGUGAUCUAUCCAUGGGCAGGUUGAAGCGCGGGUAAGACCGCGUGGAGGACCGAACCCACUUAGGUUGAAAACUGAGGGGAUGACCUGUGGAUAGGGGUGAAAGGCCAAUCAAACUCCGUGAUAGCUGGUUCUCCCCGAAAUGCAUUUAGGUGCAGCGUUGUGUGUUUCUUGCCGGAGGUAGAGCACUGGAUAGCCGAUGGGCCCGACCAGGUUACUGACGUUAG
rnacentral:rRNA from 1 species